GAAAGGGAAGCCGGUCAAUAUUCCGGCGCCUGGAUGUGGGUUUUACGCGGCAACGCAAUCGAAAGCGGAGACGAGGGCGGGGGCCCUGGGUAGAGUUCUCUUUUCUUCUUAACAGUCUAGUGACCCUGGAAUCGGUUUGUCCGGAGAUAGGGUUCAACGGCUGGAAGAGCCCAGCACUUCUGCUGGGUCCGGUGCGCUCCCGACCUCCCUUGAAAAUCCGCUGGAGGGAAUAAUUCUCACGCCAGAUCGUACUCAUAACCGCAGCAGGUCUCCAAGGUGAACAGCCUCUGGUUGAUGUGGAGAACAACGUAGAUAAGCGAAGACGGCAAAAUAGUCCCGUAA
rnacentral:rRNA from 1 species